GACGAACGCUGGCGGCGUGCUUAACACAUGCAAGUCGAACGGUGAAGCGCCUUCCUUUUUGGUGGGUGUGGAUGAGUGGCGAACGGGUGAGUAACACGUGAGUAACCUGCCCCCUUCUUCUGGAUAACCGCAUGAAAGUGUGGCUAAUACGGGAUAUUCUGGGUCUGUCGCAUGAUGGGUCUGGGAAAGAUGUUGUUUCGGUGGGGGAUGGGCUCGCGGCCUAUCAGCUUGUUGGUGGGGUGAUGGCCUACCAAGGCGGUGACGGGUAGCCGGCCUGAGAGGGUGGACGGUCACACUGGGACUGAGACACGGCCCAGACUCCUACGGGAGGCAGCAGUGGGGAAUAUUGCACAAUGGGCGCAAGCCUGAUGCAGCGACGCCGCGUGAGGGAUGGAGGCCUUCGGGUUGUGAACCUCUUUCGCCAGUGAAGCAGGCCUGCCUCGUUUGUGGGUGGGUUGACGGUAGCUGGAUAAGAAGCGCCGGCUAACUACGUG
rnacentral:rRNA from 1 species